GGGGAAUCUUCCGCAAUGGGCGAAAGCCUGACGGAGCAACGCCGCGUGAGGGAAGAAGGCCUUCGGGUUGUAAACCUCUGUUUUCAGGGAAGAAAGAAAUGACGGUACCUGAAGAGUAAGCCCCGGCUAACUACGUGCCAGCAGCCGCGGUAAAACGUAGGGGGCAAGCGUUGUCCGGAAUUACUGGGCGUAAAGGGCGCGUAGGUGGUUCAUUAAGUUAUAGGUGAAAGUUCGGGGCUCAACCCCGUGAUUGCCUGUGAUACUGGUGGACUUGAGUGCAGGAGAGGGUAGCAGAAUUCCCAGUGUAGCGGUGAAAUGCGUAGAUAUUGGGAGGAAUACCAGUGGCGAAGGCGGCUAUCUGGACUGUAACUGACACUGAGGCGCGAAAGCGUGGGGAGCAAAC
rnacentral:rRNA from 1 species